rnacentral:misc_RNA from 1 species
ACCUCAAAUCCAAGGUGUCACCUAAAUGCCCAGCAACAUACAUGCCCAAAGAGUAACAAGCAAGAAAGGCAACAUCAAUCUCACCCAGUUUCGAUGUCCCAUCUGAUCCAUUAAAUGGAUACCAGCCCUCAUUUCCCUGACCAUCCUUGUUCAUACCCAAAAAAUCCUCUUUGAUAAAUAUGUUCCCAAUUGGCCAAGGGUACUAACCAGAGGACUUAUUGGGUUCAGGAUCCAAUACACUCUUGACUAUGCUACUAGGUUUUCUAGAUGCAUGGUAACAAGUAUAAGCUAUGAAAGUAAUCAACAAAAUCACAUAUCUAAAAGCGUUCAGGCUCCAAUCUCUACCUCUUAUACUUCUUAUAACUAAAAUACCAGGUGGUGUUUUCCUCAAAUCAAAAUUUCCAGCCAUCGCUAGAUAAUUCAGUUAAUCUAGCACGAAAGAAAGCCAAUUCUCCGAAGAAGGAUCAAUAUAAAAAUCAUAAAAAUGCAGAAAGCGUUCAAGAGAUUGAUUGGAGAGAAAGUUCAAUUAGGUGAGAGACGAGAAAGAGUGAGAGAAUGGCG